GAUCAGUCAAUAAGCAUCAACUUGUGACUCACCAUAUGCUGUGUAUUGCUCUACGAGCUGCUUUAGAUGCUUUAGGGAAGCUUGCAAAUUCAAGAGUUUGUUCCUUCCUAGGUUAUUGGUUAAUGUUAUUAUUGUGAAUUUCAGUCUAACCUUGGAUUUAUGACAUUCCAAUGUUUUCCUUCGGGAGAAAGGCAUUAGAGCAGUUUCUGGACCAUCUCAUUCAGUAUAACUGCUCUUUUUUGACCACCUCACUAUUUAUUCCAGCGAGUUGAAGGGUAUAAAGCUGCAACCAAUACUUGCUUCAAUAUUCAAACAUUUAUUUGUUAAACCUAACUUUAGUUCGAUAUUAAGUGUGUCAUUUCAUACUAAAGCCAUCCAUCAAUGAAGAACUUCUGCAUAAUCAGUCUGAUGCUCUACACUUGUUUGUACCUGAUAAAAUUGAAGUUGGUCUAGCUUUGUCUAAUUCUGAAGAACACGAUACCAGGAUCUGUGGAAAUAAAUUCUUUUUUAGUCAGAUUACAGAGAUUGCAGGCCCACCAUUUUCUCUGAUCGGACCCGGCAGCAUAUUGUGUGGAUUAGCAAUUCCCUCUUCGAUCUCACUACAACAGAGACCACCAAGUUCUCUAGAUGAGAGUUGACUCCUAAUUACAUGAAGCCAUCACAACACACCUACCCUUCCU